rnacentral:misc_RNA from 1 species
GAACAGUACAUACAUCGACUUGGUAGAACUGGUCGUAAAGGUAAAGAAGGGCAAGGCAUAUUGUUACUGGCACCUUGGGAGGAAUCAUUCUUGUCUACUAUCAAGGAUUUGCCAAUAACAAAAGGUUCAGUCCCUCUGGUGGACCCAGACACAGAGACAAAGGUAGAAAGGGCCAUGUCCCAUGUUGAGAUGAAGAAUAAAGAAACAGC